AAAUUCCGAUAUUCGUACAACGAUGCGUGAACAAAACAGACAUAAUCAGUAAAGUAGUAAAAUUAAGGCUACAACAGGCACCCCUAUCAUAACAAUCAAGACCAGUUCUGCCCUGGACACAUUGUCACACUACGGGACAAGUGUUUACAACAACCGACAUAACGGACAAUUAUCUGGUAGGACAAAGCUAAUAUUUGACCGGACAAUUAUAAGC
rnacentral:lncRNA from 1 species